UACGAAGGGGGCUAGCGUUGUUCGGAAUUACUGGGCGUAAAGGGCGCGUAGGCGGUGUGUCAAGUCAGGCGUGAAAGCCCCGGGCUCAACCUGGGAACAGCGCUUGAGACUGGCACGCUCGAGUUCGGGAGAGGAUGGUGGAAUUCCCAGUGUAGAGGUGAAAUUCGUAGAUAUUGGGAAGAACACCGAUGGCGAAGGCGGCUACCUGGACAGAAACUGACGCUGAGGCGCGAAAGCUAGGGGAGCAAACAGG
rnacentral:rRNA from 1 species